CGGGAUGAACCGGAAGCCGGG
rnacentral:snRNA from 1 species